ensembl:lncRNA
CAUCAUUGAUAUAUGACAUGUGCACUAAAGAACUAACAAUGUGAAUUACUUUCAGGGCCUGGCUCACAGAGACCGCCUCCCCACGCCGUGUCCUCGCUUCAUGGGCCACAUGAGGGCCUUCCCUGAAGAUCUCAGGCCCCCCCGUUUCCUGAGCAGCCACCCCAGGCUGGGAGCUCAGCAGUGGGGGCACACCAGUGGGACACGGCCCCUGGCGCCUCAAAAGACCCAGAACUACUGUGGAGGCGCCGGGAGGAGUCUGCAGUACACGGGCCUGCCCACUAGCAGGCGCUGUGCAGUUGUCCUUGCCCCAACGCCACCGUCGCCUCCACCAAGCAGGGUGUCAUCGUCCAGCUGCUGUCCCACUACGACACCUCCCGGGCCCCCGGAAACACACCAGUGGGCUGUGGAGCGUCCUCGCAGUCUCACUCCAAACCGUCCUCUCCCUCGGGCUCUACGUGAAGAAGAGGAGAAUGCUGGAGGAGAUAAAGACGAGGGAAGACAAAUGGAGGAGGACGAGGAAGAAUUGGGAUGUUCAGACCGUGAGCCUGUCCUCUCUGCAACUCAAAGUCCCAGUUUUAGUCCUAAUCCUAGUCCUAAUCCUAGUCCUAAUCCAGACCCGGAGGACUCGGGGCCGCUCUCGGCGGGGGAGGGGGCAUUGGGCUCCAUCACUCCUGCAGGAAGCUUCUCUCGGUCGGGCUCCCUGUCGGACUUCAGCCGCCCCCCCUCCAGCCGGUUCAGCCGCAGCACCGACCCGUCCAGUCGCCAGAGUAGCAGAGCUUUCUCAGGUUGUGUGAUCCAAAGCGAUGAUGAGGAUCAUGACAGCAGCAAUGGGGCUGGCAAUAAUGCUGCUACUGCUACUGCUACUGCUGACAAUGAUGACAAUGAUGAUGGUGAUGAUGCUGAUGAUGCUGAUGAUGAUAGUGAUCUUAAUCACCAAGGACAACAGUCUCUACCCUCCCACCGCCCCCCUUCAAGAUUGCCUCCACUUCCUGUUACCCCAUGUUCUGUAGCUCCUCCCUCAGAACCCAAAUCAAGCCAGCCUCUAGAACCCACACACUCACCCAGAACCUCAGGUAAGAGGUCCAGCGGGGCUGUAGGGCUCAAGAAGGUACCGAAGGAGAACGUUGAUGACCUGGUCCGGAACCAGCUAGCGGACCUGACUCCUCACCCUUCGCUUGGUUCUGUGUCUUUGGCCACCUGGAGAACCUCCUCUCGCUGUCUGUCCGGGCUGAGCAAAUCAGCAUCCAGCGCUUCCAAUGUGGACCAAUCAGAAUGGACCAGCCAGCGUUGGUCCCGCCUACCACCCAUCAUGCCUAGUGGAGGUGUCAGUAGGUCAGGGAUAUCCAGCUGUUCUCAGGUCAGUGCUGCUGAGCAUAAAGACGAUGAUGAUGAUGAUGAUGAUGAUGAUGAUGAUGAUGAUGAUGAUGAAGACGACGUCUUUGCUGAGCUGGAAGCUGUGGCUCCCCGCACAGGAUCAUGUAUGUUCAUAGACCACCCAGAGAGCAGUGGAGCAGAGACUGGCCCCACCUCUCCUGUGAUAGCUCUGUCUCCAGGUUUGGCCGCCCUCACUGUUGGCUGUGCUUCAGGAGGUUUGGGCUCUCUCUCCCGUGUCCACCUCCUGAUGCUGGACCGACCCGGCCCAGAACUGGACCUCCCUGGUUCCCCUCUGGACCCUGAGUGGGACAACCCCAUUCCCUUACCCACAGACGGGAUUACAACCUCAUGGUCCGACUUCAGAGGGGAAGAUUACCACCAGACAGGUACCUUAUAACAGACAAGUACCUUAUAACAGACAAGUACCUUAUAACAGACAAGUACCUCAUAACAGACAAG